rnacentral:rRNA from 1 species
GACGAACCACACAAACGUUAUUCGGAAUUACUGGGCUUAAAGGGUGCGUAGGCUGUGCGGAAAGUUGGGUGUGAAAUCCCCCGGCUCAACCGGGGAAUUGCGCCCAAAACUACCGUGCUUGAGGAAGACAGAGGUGAGCGGAACUUCGGGUGGAGCGGUGAAAUGCGUUGAUAUCCGAAGGAACACCGGUGGCGAAAGCGGCUCACUGGGUCUUUCUGACGCUGAUGCACGAAAGCUAGGGGAGCAACGGG